rnacentral:lncRNA from 1 species
UUCCGUUUCAGGUUCUUCUUCUUCAAUUGCUGGUUUCUCAUCUUUCUUUUCAACAACUAGUUCUUCAGAUGUGUCUUCAACUGUUGGUUCUUCAGGUUUCUCUUCAAGGUCUAGUUCUUCAGGUAUUUCCUGCCCUGCAAGCUCUUCAGGUGUUUCUAUAGCCGCUGGUUCUUCAGGUUUCUCUGUCAUCUCUAGUUCUUCAGGUUUCUCCUCAACUGGUACUUCAGAUUUCUCCUCAAAUGUUGGUUCUUUGGGUUUCUCCUUAAUAGCUGGUACAUCAGGUUUCUCUUCAAUGAGUGGUUCUUCAGUUUUUUCUUCAACUGCCGAUUCUUCAGGAUUUUCCUCACUGUCUGGAGAGUAUUCAACAUCAUUAUUGGUAUUGCAUGGGAUUUCACUGCCGGUUUUUUCAGUUGAGUCUACAAUUAGCAUA